CUUAAGCAUAUCAAUAAGCGGAGGAAAAGAAACUAACAAGGAUUCCCCUAGUAACUGCGAGUGAAGCGGGAAAAGCUCAAAUUUGAAAUCUGGCGGCCCCGCCGUCCGAGUUGUAUUCUGGAGAAGCGCUUUCCGCGCCGGACCGUGUACAAGUCCCUUGGAACAGGGCGUCGUAGAGGGUGAGAAUCCCGUCUUUGACACGGACCCCCGGCGCUGUGCGAUGCGCUCUCGAAGAGUCGAGUUGUUUGGGAAUGCAGCUCAAAACGGGUGGUAAAUUCCAUCUAAAGCUAAAUAUUGGCGAGAGACCGAUAGCGAACAAGUACCGUGAGGGAAAGAUGAAAAGCACUUUGGAAAGAGAGUAAAACAGUACGUGAAAUUGUUGAAAGGGAAACGCUUGAAGUCAGUCGCGUCUGCCGGAACUCAGCCUUGCUUCUGCUCGGCGCACUUUCCGGCCCGACGGGCCAGCAUCGGUUUCGGGCGGCGGACACUGGCUCGGGGAAGGUGGCGGCUCCGGCCGCGUUAUAGCCCCUCGUCGCGAACGUCGCCCGGGACCGAGGAAUCCGGCGAAAGCCUGGGAUGCUGGCGUAAUGGCUUUAAACGACCCGUCUUGAAACACGGACCAAGGAGUGCUACGUGCUCGCGAGUGUUCGGGUGGAAAACCCGGACGCGCAAUGAAAGUGAAAGUCGAUACCCCUCGCGGGGGCACCGACGCCCGAGCCCGAUGUUUUCGGACGGCCUUGCGGUGGAGCGAGUGCGUUGCGACCCGAAAGAUGGUGAACUAUUCCUGAGGAGGGCGAAGCCAGAGGAAACUCUGGUGGAGGCUCGUAGCGGUUCUGACGUGCAAAUCGAUCGCAGGACUUGGGUAUAGGGGCGAAAGACUAAUCGAACCAUCUAGUAGCUGGUUCCUGCCGAAGUU
rnacentral:rRNA from 1 species